rnacentral:rRNA from 1 species
UUGAUACUGCUGUGCUGGAGUUCGGAAGGGGAGACUGGAACUCUGGGUGUAGCGGUGGAAUGCGAAGAUAUCCAGGGGAAGGCCGGUAGCGAAAGCGAGUCUCUGGUCCGAUACUGACACUGAGGUGCGAAAGCGUAGGUAGCGAACGGGAUUAGAUACCCCGGUAGUCUACGCCGUAAACGAUGGGCACUAGGUGGUGGGAACGCCGAUAGUUCUCUCCGCCGAAGCAAAAGCGUUAAGUGCCCCGCCUGGGGAGUAUGGUCGCAAGAUUAAAACUCAAAGGAAUUGACGGGGGCCCACACAAGCGGUGGAGGAUGCGGCUUAAUUCGAGGACACGCGUAGAACCUUACCGAGGCUUGACAUGCAGGGAUUAACCAGGUGAAAACCUGGGGAUUGCCUUACGGUGUAACCUGCACAGGUGCUGCAUGGCUGUCGACAGCUCGUGUCGUGAGAUGCUAGGUUAAGUCCUGUAACGAGCGAAACCCCUGUGCUUAAUUGCCAGCGCGUUAUGGCGGGGACUUUAAGCAGACUGCCCCGGCCAACGGGGAGGAAGGUGGGGAUGACGUCAAGUCAGCAUGGCCCUUAUGCCUCGGGCUGCACGCGUCCUACAAUGGGCAGUACAAUGAGUACCGAUCCCGCAAGGGGGAGGAAAUCUCGAAAGCUGUCCUCAGUUCGGAUUGCAGGCUGAAACUCGCCUGCAUGAAGGUGGAAUCGCUAGUAAUCGCCGGUCAGCUAUACGGCGGUGAAUACGUCCCUGGGCNUUGUACACACCGCCCGUCAAGCCACCCGAGUUGGACGCGCUCGAAGUCCGAGACUCAACCUUCGGGAGAGAUCGGCCGAAGG